GUUAGGGAGAGUUUGAUCCUGGCUCAGGAUUAACGCUGGCGGCGUGCCUUAUCAAUGCGAGUCGAACGGUACGGACGGCUUCGGCCGUCACGACGGUGGCAUCUGGGUGAGUAACACGUAGGUGACCUGCCUCUUGGUGGGGGAUAACCCCGGGAAACCGGGGACAAUACCGCAUAAGAUCCUCCGGAUGCGUCCGGGGGAUGAAAGAUUUAUCGCCGAGAGAGGGGCCUGCGGCCGAUUAGCUUGUUGGUGGGGUAAUGGCUCACCAAGGCGAUGAUCGGUAGCUGGUCUGAGAGGAUGAUCAGCCACACUGGGACUGAAACAUGGUCCAGAGCCCUACGGGGUUUAGCAUGAAGGAAUAUUGCGCAAUGGGGGCAACCCUGACGCAGCAACGCCGCGUGGGCGAAGAAGGCCUUCGGGUCGUAAAGCCCUUUUCCGGGUGAUGAAACUGACAGUAGCCCGGGAAUAAGCCACGGCCAACUACGUGCCAGCAGCCGCGGCAAUACGUAGGUGGCGAGCGUUAUCCGGAAUUACUGGGCGUAAAGCGCGUGUAGGCGGACCGGUAGGUUGUUCGUGAAAUGUCAAGGCCCAACCUUGUCACGCCGUACAAAACCGCCGGUCUUGAGGCUGGGAGAGGGAAGUGGAACUUCCGGUGUAGUGGUGGAAUGCGUAGAUAUCGGAAGGAACACCAGUGGCGAAGGCGGCUUCCUGGCUUAGUCCUGACGCUGAGACGCGAAAGCGUGGGGAGCGAACCGGAUUAGAUACCCGGGUAGUCCACGCCGUAAAC
rnacentral:rRNA from 1 species